rnacentral:snRNA from 1 species
GUCUGUUUGGAAGCACCCAAUAAAAUUGGGACGAUAGGAAGAAAAUUAGCAUGGCCCCGCACGAGGAUGACAUGCUUUGAGAAAUGAUCCAUUUUUUU